rnacentral:SRP_RNA from 2 species
GCCUGGUGUGGUGGUGCACGCCUGUAGUCCCAGCUACUCAGGAGGCUGAGGCAGGAGAAUCGCUUGAACCCAGGAGGCGGAAGUUGCAGUGAGCCGAGAUCGUGCCACUGCACUCCAGCCUGGGUGACAGAGUGAGACUCUGUCUCCC